AGACGUAGGGGGCGAGCGUUGUCCGGAAUUACUGGGCGUAAAGAGCACGUAGGCGGGAAUUUAAGUCAGAUGUGAAAGACCGGGGCUCAACCCCGGGGUUGCAUUUGAAACUGAAUUUCUUGAGGGCAGGAGAGGAAAGCAGAAUUCCUGGUGUAGCGGUGAAAUGCGUAGAAAUCAGGAGGAAUACCAGUGGCGAAGGCGGCUUUCUGGACUGACCCUGACGCUGAGGUGCGAAAGCGUGGGUAGCAAACAGGAUUAGAUACCCUGGUAGUCCACGCCGUAAACGAUGGAUACUAGGUGUGGGAGGUAUCGACCCCUUCCGUGCCGCAGCUAACGCAAUAAGUAUCCCGCCUGGGGAGUACGAUCGCAAGGUUGAA
rnacentral:rRNA from 1 species